CCCUUAGAUGUUCUGGGCCGCACGCGCGCUACACUGACGAAUGCAACGAGCUUAUAACCUUGGCCGAAAGGUCUGGGUAAUCUCCAAAUUUCGUCGUGAUGGGGAUAGAUUAUUGCAAUUAUUAAUCUUCAACGAGGAAUGCCUAGUAAGCGCAAGUCAUCAGCUUGCGUUGAUUACGUCCCUGCCCUUUGUACACACCGCCCGUCGCUCCUACCGAUUGAAUGGUCCGGUGAAGCGUUCGGACCGUGGCCUUUGGACGGUUCGCCGUCUGUUGGCUGCGGGAAGUUCGUUAAACCUUAUCCUUUAGAGGAAGGAGAAGUCGUAACA
rnacentral:rRNA from 1 species